rnacentral:rRNA from 1 species
ACGGAAGGCAGCAGUGGGGGAUAUUGCACAAUGGGGGAAACCCUGAUGCAGCAACGCCGCGUGAAGGAAGAAGGUCUUCGGAUUGUAAACUUCUGUUCUUGGUGACGAAACAAAUGACGGUAGCCAAGGAGAAAGCCACGGCUAACUACGUGCCAGCAGCCGCGGUAAUACGUAGGUGGCAAGCGUUGUCCGGAAUUACUGGGUGUAAAGGGUGCGCAGGCGGGACUGCAAGUUGGAUGUGAAAUCCCGGAGCUUAACUCCGGAACUGCAUCCAAAACUGUGGUUCUUGAGUGAAGUAGAGGUUGGCGGAAUUCCGAGUGUAGCGGUGAAAUGCGUAGAUAUUCGGAGGAACACCAGUGGCGAAGGCGGCCUACUGGGCUUUAACUGACGCUGAGGCUCGAAAGCGUGGGGAGCAAACAGGAUUAGAUACCCUGGUA